rnacentral:rRNA from 1 species
AUGCUGAGAAUACAUAAGCAUGCUGAUCUAUUUAUGCAACAUAGAGAAAAGCAUCACUUGAUGUUCCGCAACGGGUGUUGGAAGAGAGUACAUGACAGGAGCAUAAAUUUCAACUACAAGUCAGCAGUAGCGCAGACACAAAAGCAACCGAAGAGACUCUCAAAUAGACGAUUUCGAGGGACCUUGCAAACGUCUCCUCCCUCUGCUUGUUCCACUUCUCAAUCUGGUUCGGUAGGACCUGGAGGAUACCAAAAUUCGUCUCAGCAAACAAAGAGACUUUUCCCUUGCAUAAACAACAAUGAUCAAGUAUAUUUCAAGAAAUAUUAA